rnacentral:rRNA from 1 species
CAGUCGCCACGGGAAUACAGAGGGUGCGAGCGUUAAUCGGAUUUACUGGGCGUAAAGCGUGCGUAGGCGGCUUCUUAAGUCGGAUGUGAAAUCCCUGAGCUUAACUUAGGAAUUGCAUUCGAUACUGGGAAGCUAGAGUAUGGGAGAGGAUGGUAGAAUUCCAGGUGUAGCGGUGAAAUGCGUAGAGAUCUGGAGGAAUACCGAUGGCGAAGGCAGCCAUCUGGCCUAAUACUGACGCUGAGGUACGAAAGCAUGGGGAGCAAACAGGAUUAGAGACCCCCGUAGUCCCUGUCUCUUAUAU